UACGUAGGUGGCGAGCGUUGUCCGGAAUUACUGGGCGUAAAGGGCGAGUAGGCGGUUAUACAAGUCAGAUGUGAAAGGCGUGGGCUCAACCUGCGCAUUGCAUUUGAAACUGUAUGACUUGAGUGCAGGAGAGGAAAGUGGAAUUCCCAGUGUAGCGGUGAAAUGCGUAGAUAUUGGGAGGAACACCAGUGGCGAAGGCGACUUUCUGGCCUGUAACUGACGCUGAGGCGCGAAAGCGGGGGGAGCAAACAGGAUUAGAUGCCCUGGUAGUCCACGCCGUAAACGAUGGAUGCUAGGUGUGGGGGGUAUCGACCCCUUCCGUGCCGGAGUUAACGCAAUAAGCAUCCCGCCUGGGGAGUACGGUCGCAAGACUGAG
rnacentral:rRNA from 1 species